rnacentral:rRNA from 1 species
GUGUCAGCCGCCGCGGUAAUACGGAGGGGGCAAGCGUUGUUCGGAGUUACUGGGCGUAAAGGGCGCGUAGGCGGUGCAACAAGUCAGGCGUGAAAGCCCCGGGCUUAACCUGGGAAUUGCGCUUGAUACUGUUGCGCUAGAGAUCGGGAGAGGAUGGCGGAAUUCCCAGUGUAGAGGUGAAAUUCGUAGAUAUUGGGAAGAACACCGGUGGCGAAGGCGGCCAUCUGGACCGCAUCUGACGCUGAGGCGCGAAAGCGUGGGGAGCAAACAGGAUUAGAAACCCCCGUAGUCC